rnacentral:rRNA from 1 species
GGGAAUUUUCCGCAAUGGGCGAAAGCCUGACGGAGCAAUGCCGCGUGGAGGUGGAGGGCCUACGGGUCGUCAACUUCUUUUCUCGGAGAAGAAACAAUGACGGUAUCUGAGGAAUAAGCAUCGGCUAACUCUGUGCCAG